rnacentral:piRNA from 1 species
GAAGAAAAGGAAACCCAGUGAAUG